AUUAUUUAGAAUGAUCAAUUACAAAGGUUGGAAAAAUGCCGAGGGUGUCGAUCCAGUAUGCGAGUUCCCCUUUGUUUACUCUCUAAAAAGA
rnacentral:sRNA from 1 species